rnacentral:lncRNA from 1 species
CUGAAACAUGGUUGAAUGUUUUUCACAGGCUCUACAUGAGGUUUAUAGCACAGACCUGUCAUAGUCACUGGCUCAGGCUGGAAGGCUCACUCAAGAUGUAAGGUGGCCACGUUUUCAACCUGAGAAUAUUCUGUUGUCCAAAUGGAACCUUCUGCUGGGACAAUGAACAAAUCCCUAUGUGUGGCUUGGAGAAUUCUUUUUCAAAAGGUUAGUACCAAUUUUCUGUUAGAAGUGGAGUGGGCAGCACUGUGUGUGGUAAGAAGUUUAUGGUUUUGUCAAGGCAUUUAAUGAGAUAAGUUGAGUCAAUUUAUGGUUUAUUUGGGUACUUG